UACGUAGGGGGCGAGCGUUGUCCGGAAUCAUUGGGCGUAAAGCGCGUGUAGGCGGUUCGGUAAGUCUGCUGUGAAAGUCCAGGGCUCAACCCUGGAAUGCCGGUGGAUACUGCCGAGCUUGAGUCCGGAAGAGGCGAGUGGAAUUCCUGGUGUAGCGGUGAAAUGCGCAGAUAUCAGGAGGAACACCGAUGGCGAAGGCAGCUCGCUGGGACGUGACUGACGCUGAGACGCGAAAGCGUGGGGAGCAAACAGG
rnacentral:rRNA from 1 species